UAUAUUCUAACAAUAUUUUAUUCAACUUUCAACAAAACAUCUCAUCUUCAUCUGAACUGCGUAACCAAACGAGGCCUAAGCUGAAAAUGGUUAAUCAAACAAUCAUUAACAGUUUAUGGUGUUGUCAUAGUCAUAGUGUGGGAUGGGUUGAUUUAGUUUCGAAAGGGGCUUCAGGUGGUAUUAUUGUUAUGUGGGAUAGGAGGGUGGUGGAGAUGAUAGAGUAUUAUGUGGGAAAAUUUAUGGUGGCUUGUCGAUUCAAGAGUGUGAAUGAUGGAUAUGAAUGGGCUUUUUUUUUGGGGGGGGGGGUGUCUUUGAUAUCCCUCUCACCACCCCCAUUCGAAGAAACAACUCUGUUAUCGGGAGCUGAAACUGAGUUUCUAUAAUCUAUCAUCUCUCUCACUAUCCUUACAAAACCUGCUCAACCACACCCUUUCCUCCCUUUUGGAAUCACAAUGAUACCCUUCCCCAUACCUGUACCAAACUCAAUCAGCUUCACAAACCUCCCAAUCUCGUUCUGACAUCUUUGGACCAUAAAAUCUCUAUGACCCUCCCUUUUUGUCUGAAAAGAUUCUUUUUUGCCUGAUAACCUCAGCCAAUCCUCCACCACCUUUGCCAUCCAAACAAUCAUUCCUCCAUUGAGAAGAAGGAACUUAGACAACUUCCUGCUCCUCUCAGUAAUACAAAAAAAGUUUCCACCUUUCCUACUAAUCACGAACCUCUUCACUUCAAUCCAAAAACUACGCUCCAUCUUCAACUAACUAUUAGUAAAAUUUAAGAAGAAAAAGGAAAUUGAAACAGGAGAACAAUAACAGACAGAUUAAGGAUCAUCCCUGGCGAGAAGCACCAGGAAUGGAAUAUCGCAGAAGAUAAAUUAACUUUCAGAUUUGAAGAUAUCUCGGGUCUAAGGAUUAAUCUUAACAAAUCUGAAAUUGUUCCAGUGGGUGCAGUAGCCAAUAUUUCAGAUUUGGCUGAUAUUUUGGAAUGUAAGAUUUCUUCGUUGCCGCUGAAGUAUCUUGGUCUUCUGUUGGGUGCCUCUCACAAAUCUGUUUCCAUAUGGGAAGGGGUGAUUGAGAAGAUCGAGAGAAGGUUGGCUGGAUGGAAAAAACUAUACUUGUCUAAAGGGGGACUUUGAUGAAGAGUACGCUGUCUAAUCUUCCCACGUAUUUUCUUUUACUUUUCCCUUUGCCAGCAGGGGUUGUAAAAAGUAUUGAGAAAAUUUAUCGCAAUUUCUUAUGGGGAGGUAUAAGAGAGGAGAAAAAAGUUUCAUAUGGUUAGUUCGAACAAGGUUUGUCAACCAAUUUUGUGGAGGAUUGGGGGUGAGAAAUUUGAGGAUGUUUAACAAAGCACUUCUUGGGAAAUGGCUCUGGAGAUAUCAUUUAGAGAGAUGCUUUAUGGAAGAAUGUUGUUGCAGUUAAAUAUGGGAGUGGGUGGGGGGAUUGGUGUUCUAAUGAAGUUAGAGGAGCGUAUGGGGUGAGUUUAUGGAAGUUCAUUAGGAAAGGUUGGGGGGAGUUUUCGAAACAUAUUACAUUUAAGGUGGGGGAAGGGAAGAAGAUUCUUUUUUGGCAUGAUAUUUGGUGUGGGGAAUCAGCUCUCAAAUCUGAGUUUCCCUCUCUAUUUAAGAUUGCAAGGGAUCAAAAUGCUGCUGUGAAAGAUUAUUUCCAACAUACGAAUUAUAAUAUUCUGUGGAAUGUUGAUUUUAUCCGAGAGGUAAAUGACUGGGAAGUAAAUGAUGUUUCUGAUUUUUUGGGAAGAAUUUAUAAUUCAAAAGUGAUGCAGGGAAGAGAGGACAGUUUACUGUGGGACCAUGCUGGAAAGUCCAGGUUUUCUGUUAGUUCUUUUUAUAAGGUGCUGACUUGUCAUUCUGGUUGUGCUUUCCCUUGGAAAACCAUUUGGAGAGUGAAGGUUCCUACUAAGGUGGCGUUUUUCAGUUGGGUGGUUGCUCUAUGGAAAGUUUUGACCACGGAUAACCUUAGAAAAUGUGGUAUGUGCGUUGCUGAUUGGUGUGUCAUGUGCAAGAAGGAUGGUGAAUCUGUAAAUCAACUCUUUCUUCAUUGUGAGGCGGCAAAGUCUUUAUGGUAUGAGGUUUUGAGGGAAGGAUAUGUGUAGCUGCCAGAUGGAAUAUGAUUCCUUUGUGUUUAAUGUGGUGUAUUUGGCUGGAAAGGAAUUGGAGAUGUUUUGAAGACAAAGAGUCUUCUCUCGGAGAACUUCGGAAUUUUUUCUUUUCUACUUUGUGUUUGUGGGCUACGAUUUUUGUAAGGGAUGAUGAUAAUGUACUGAAUCUGUUUGUCUUUUUCCUGCUUCUAGAGCGUAGUAGGUAUUUCCUUUGUAUACUUCUUGUGUACUUGGGCUGUGCCUAUUCUCGGUAAUAAAAUCUCUUAUUAAUUAUAAAAAAAAAA